rnacentral:rRNA from 1 species
UUAUACAAAUAAUGCAAAUAAAAUUUAUUAAUAAUAGUUAAUUUGUUUUAUUUAAAUUUAUUUUAAAUUUUUUAAGUGAAAUUUUAAAUUUAAUUAAUUUUGAAAUAAAUGAAGCUAGUAAAUUUUAGUGAUAAACUAGGAUUAGAUACCCUAUUAUUUAAAAAGUAUUUUUUUUUGUUUGAGUAGUAAUAGCUAUGUUCUUAAAACUUAAAAAAUUUGGCGGUGUUUUAGUCUAUUUAGAGGAACCUGUCCUGUAAUCGAUAAUCCACGUUGGACCUUACUAAUUUUUGUUUUCAAUUUGUAUAUCGCCGUUAUCAGAAUAUCUUAAAAGAGAAAAAAAUUUCUUAAUUUAUUAAUAAAAAUGAUGUCAGGUCAAGGUGCAGUUUAUAUUUUAGAAGAGAUGGGUUACAAUAAAAUUAUUUAUACGAAGAAUUUUAUUGAAAAAUAAAUUUAAAGGUGGAUUUAAAAGUAAAGUAAUAAAUSMSRGSMUUMMAARDSSMARBSMASUBUNUARUACDSCAGCAACCGCGGUUAUACAAAUAAUGCAAAUAAAAUUUAUUAAUAAUAGUUAAUUUAUUUUAUUUAAGUUUAUUUUGAAUUUUUUAAGUGAAAUUUUAAAUUUAAUUAAUUUAAAGUGAAUGAAACUAAUAAAUUUUAAUAAUAAACUAGGAUUAGAUACCCUAUUAUUUAAAAAGUAUUUUUUUUUGUUUGAGUAGUAAUAGUUAUGUUCUUAAAACUUAAAAAAUUUGGCGGUGUUUUAGUCUAUUUAGAGGAACCUGUCCUGUAAUCGAUAAUCCACGUUGGACCUUACUAAUUUUUGUUUUCAAUUUGUAUACCGCCGUUAUCAGAAUAUCUUAAAAGAGAAAAAAUUUUCUUAAUUUAUUAAUAAAAAUGAUGUCAGGUCAAGGUGCAGUUUAUAUUUUAGAAGAGAUGGGUUACAAUAAAAUUAUUUAUACGAAGAAUUUAAUUGAAAAAUAAAUUUAAAGGUGGAUUUAAAAGUAAAAUAAUAAAU